UGGCGGACGGGUGAGUAACGCGUGGGUAACCUGCCUUGUACUGGGGGAUAGCAGCUGGAAACGGCUGGUAAUACCGCAUAAGCGCACAAUGUUGCAUGACAUGGUGUGAAAAACUCCGGUGGUAUAAGAUGGACCCGCGUCUGAUUAGCUAGUUGGUGAGAUAACAGCCCACCAAGGUGACGAUCAGUAGCCGACCUGAGAGGGUGGCCGGCCACAUUGGGACUGAGACACGGCCCAGACUCCUACGGGAGGCAGCAGUGGGGAAUAUUGCACAAUGGAGGAAACUCUGAUGCAGCGACGCCGCGUGAGUGAAGAAGUAAUUCGUUAUGUAAAGCUCUAUCAGCAGGGAAGAUAGUGACGGUACCUGACUAAGAAGCUCCGGCUAAAUACGUGCCAGCAGCCGCGGUAAUACGUAUGGAGCAAGCGUUAUCCGGAUUUACUGGGUGUAAAGGGAGUGUAGGUGGCCAUGCAAGUCAGAAGUGAAAAUCCGGGGCUCA
rnacentral:rRNA from 1 species